rnacentral:rRNA from 1 species
AGAGUUUGAUUAUGGCUCAGGAUAAACGCUAGCGGCAGGCUUAACACAUGCAAGUCGAGGGGCAUCGGGUCGUAGCAAUACGAUGCCGGCGACCGGCGCACGGGUGAGUAACGCGUAUGGAACCAACCCGCCGAAGAGGGAUAACCCGGAGAAAUUCGGACUAAUACCUCGUAACGCUUUCGAGAGGCAUCUCUUGAAAGCCAAAGAUUCAUCGUCGGCGGACGGUCAUGCGUAUCAUUAGCUAGUUGGCGGGGUAACGGCCCACCAAGGCGGCGAUGAUUAGGGGUUCCGAGAGGAUUUACCCCCACACCGGGACUGAGACACGGCCCGGACUCCUACGGGAGGCAGCAGUGAGGAAUAUUGGUCAAUGGACGAGAGUCCGAACCAGCCAUGCCGCGUGCGGGACGACGGCCCUACGGGUCUUAAACCGCUUUUCCGAGAGAGCAAUAAGCGCCAUGCGUGGCGUGACGAGAGUAUUUCGGGAAUAAGCAUCGGCUAACUCCGUGCCAGCAGCCGCGGUAAUACGGAGGAUGCAAGCGUUAUCCGGAUUCAUUGGGUUUAAAGGGUGCGUAGGCGGUUUUGCAAGUCGGCGGUGAAAUACCCGGGCUCAACCCGAGAAUUGCCGUCGAAACUGCGAGGCUUGAAUGCGAAUGAAGUUCGAGGAAUGCGCGGUGUAGCGGUGAAAUGCAUAGAUAUCGCGCGGAAGGCCGAUUGCGAAGGCAUCGGACUAAUUCGCCAUUGACGCUGAGGCACGAAAGCGCGGGGAUCGAACAGGAUUAGAUACCCUGGUAGUCCGCGCCGUAAACGAUGAUGACUCGCUGUCGGGGAUUAGGUUCUUCGGCGGCCAAGCGAAAGCGUUAAGUCAUCCACCUGGGGAGUACGUUCGCAAGAAUGAAACUCAAAGGAAUUGACGGGGCCCGCACAAGCGGAGGAACAUGUGGUUUAAUUCGAUGAUACGC